rnacentral:rRNA from 1 species
CCUACGGGUGGCAGCAGUGGGGAAUAUUGGACAAUGGGCGAAAGCCUGAUCCACCCAUGCCGCGUGUGUGAAGAAGGCCUUCGGGUUGUAAAGCACUUUCAGUGGGGAAGAAAGCCUUGGGGCUAAUACCCUCGAGGAAGGACAUCACCCACAGAAGAAGCACCGGCUAACUCCGUGCCAGCAGCCGCGGUAAUACGGAGGGUGCGAGCGUUAAUCGGAAUUACUGGGCGUAAAGCGCGCGUAGGCGGUCUGAUAAGCCGGUUGUGAAAGCCCCGGGCUCAACCUGGGAACGGCAUCCGGAACUGUCAGGCUAGAGUGCAGGAGAGGAAGGUAGAAUUCCCGGUGUAGCGGUGAAAUGCGUAGAGAUCGGGAGGAAUACCAGUGGCGAAGGCGGUCUUCUGGACUGACACUGACGCUGAGGUGCGAAAGCGUGGGUAGCAAACAGGAUUAGAUACCCUAGUAGUC